rnacentral:rRNA from 1 species
GACGAACGCUGGCGGCGUGCUUAACACAUGCAAGUCGAACGGAAAGGCCCUGCUUUUGUGGGGUGCUCGAGUGGCGAACGGGUGAGUAACACGUGAGUAACCUGCCCUUGACUUUGGGAUAACUUCAGGAAACUGGGGCUAAUACCGGAUAGGAGCUCCUGCUGCAUGGUGGGGGUUGGAAAGUUUCGGCGGUUGGGGAUGGACUCGCGGCUUAUCAGCUUGUUGGUGGGGUAGUGGCUUACCAAGGCUUUGACGGGUAGCCGGCCUGAGAGGGUGACCGGCCAUAUUGGGACUGAGAUACGGCCCAGACUCCUACGGGAGGCAGCAGUGGGGAAUAUUGCACAAUGGGCGGAAGCCUGAUGCAGCAACGCCGCGUGCGGGAUGACGGCCUUCGGGUUGUAAACCGCUUUCGCCUGCGACGAAGCGUGAGUGACGGUAAUGGGUAAAGAAGCACCGGCUAACUACGUG